CCAGCCCCAGCCCCAGCCCAGGCCGGCAUCAUGGCAGUGGGAGGCUUUGAGGAUCAGGGCAUCUAUCGCAUGUCCCUCAGCAGGGUUGGUCGAUGAUGAAUGUGUUUGGACUUCUGUCUCCGCAGGCUUUGGCUCCAAACCGGCCCCAGAGCAUGUGGGGAUGGGGAUGGCUGGGGUAGGGCAGGAGGGAGUCCCAGCCUGAGGGCAUGGCAAGGCUGCUGGCUGCCCUAUGGCAGAUCAUGAGGAAAGAGGUCUGGAAGGGGCAGUGGCCCUGAUAUAGCGCAGGAAUCUCGCGGCUGGUGGCAUUACAUGCCAUGUGACUCCCUUUCCUUCAGCAGUUCCCUUGCCCAGUUACACUGUAAAGCUUCAGAUGAGUUUGGGCUGUGUGUGAGGGCCGGAGCUGCCUGCAGCUCCCCUGCCCUUCAGCCCACCCACUGUAUCCUGCACACCCCUUGCUGUUCACACUCCUGGGGAUUUGGCACUAAGGUGAUGCAGGGUACAUCCCUGAGCCUGGUUUGCGUGGGCACUCUGGCCAUCUUCCCACACUGGGUAACUGCCUUCUGUCUCCCCAAAUUCCCCCUGCAGUUUCAAGUGGAUGUGGGAUUCUCCUUCUCUUCCAGUCCUAGUCUGUUGUGUAGCGUUGCUGCGCGCUGCUCUGCCGCUGCUGCCUUCCAGCCCAGAGGUGGCUGCAUUGCAGUGGUGGCUGGUGGGGACCACAUUACAGGAGUGCAACCCACAGCCCCUGCCAUGCCACACGCCGGUUGCUGCUUCCGUCCCCUCUCCCUCCUGGGCUGUCACACUGACCUGAAGCAGGAAGGAUUUGAGGGGAAGGCUGGUUCCGUGACAGGUUUUCCUGGUGAGACCUCCCUGGGGAUGGGAAGAGGAAACGGAAUGCUGCCCCUGGCUGUUGCAGCCACAGGCUCCCAUGAGACAGCAGCCACGAGUGAGCAGCCAGCAACAGCUGAAGAUGCAUCAGACACAAGCCUGCAUGGCUCUGGCGUGGCAGGCUUGCUCCAGAAUGUCCAGCAAGUGCUGGUGCAGAUCCUGCAGACAUCACGGCGGCAGCAGGCACUACUGGAGAGCCUGGCCAGCGACACAGUCUCCCAACUCCACCUCCUUUCCCAAAGCCUCAUGCAGGUGGGCGAGACCCUGAACCAACUCUUGCUCCGGCCACAGAUCCAUCCUGGCCCCAUUGGCCACUACGUCCCCCAUAUGCCCCUUUUUGAGGGUGGCUCUGGAGUGCCCUGCUCCUCUGGUGCUUCCCACACUUCCCUGGAUCACAAAGAGGAGCCUCAGCUGUUCCCCGAAGCCAGGUGCAUCACCCCAUGAGUGCCACUAUCACUGGCCACAGGAGCAAGAGCUUUACUACACAGCCACAGCACAGAUUUUUAUAUCACAGGUUCCAGAUAUUUUCAAAGUUUAUACUAGAGAGACACUUAAAUAAAAUUAAAAAUAGCUUUUCUACUAGUGAUGGC
rnacentral:lncRNA from 1 species